AUAUUUUUCUGCAAGUCUCCAGACUUUUCAGUUUGUCAUAGGAUUGCAGGGUAGCGUUAUGUGUAGACAGUAUUGUAACCUCUAGUGGAGGCUAGAACAUUUAUUGCAGCAGCAAAUGGCCUCUCCUUCUUCCUAAAUGUUUAUAGAUAUGGGAUACAUAAGUGGGGUCUAGACAGCUAAAAACAAUCUGCUUUAAUCAAUUAAUUUUAUCUGAAGAUAUUGAGAAACAGUCCAGCUAAAUCACCAGAGAGGAGGUAGCAGAGAAAGAGUUAGAAAACUUGGUGUCAUCAUGGAGCAUGACAGGAAUCCAGCAGUGUUCCAGACCUAAAACCUGCACACACGUGUGUGCAUGCAAACACUCCCUGUGCUGGAGAAACUUAAAAGACCAGUGACAGGACAACGACCCCACUGAGAUGAGUCCAGUAGAAAUCCUCUUUAUGGGAUGUGAUAACUUCUAAAGGUGCACAAUGAAAUUGCCUUGCAAAGGACAGUGUGGAUUACAGACUGAAUUCAUGUCAAAGAGGAGAUUCCCACGGGCAAUGAACAGAGACCUUUUCCGGAAUUCAGAGCUCAACAUCUAGACAAAUUCCUUCCUCAAGUGUUCUUUAAAUUCAGGACUUAGAUCUUUCACUUUCUUCAACCUUCAAUCUUCAAUCUUCAGUUUCCCAGCUCUAAAUCAGCAUGUGAUGAACUGUAGUGAUGAGGAUGCCUUAUUCAUGGGUCUUCAUGUAUUGAGAGUGUGAUUUCAAGAUUAUAAAAAACAAAACAACAAUUAAAAAAUAAAUAAAUAAUGUUGUCUAAGCUACCCACUCUGUCUACAUGAGCUUAACUCCCAUGGGUGGCCCUCCUGAACAGUUUUUGUACUCUCAGUGUUCUGCAAAAAUUUCUCAAGAAUCAAGCUGGAUGUCAUGUUUUAAUACUCUACCCUGAAUAGUGGCCAGCAAGAUGCUGGACAGGCCUUUUACGAGUAAGAGUCUCUAUAGUCAUCCAUGUACCAGUGAUGUACCUAUGCCACUCACAGCACAUUCUCAGCCUCAAAGACAGAGCAUCUCAAAAAUAUUUCUGGUUUAAUUUCCUUUUAUCUAAAGAAAAGCAGAACAAUGUGUUGACUAUUAAAGAGUUGUAAACAGCA